CACAUUGUAAAUAACAACUUGUUUCCUAAUUGACUUACCUCUAUAAAUAAAAGUGAAAUAAAAUUACAACGUUGCAAAGGUUUGUUUUAGUGGUUUUAUCGGAUCAGGAUACAACCGGAUACAAAUGUCAGACUACAGCCUUGCACUUUCCCCUGUGGUCCUAAACCCCAGCCAGCCCCCACUGAUAAGACAGCAACACUAGUAACUUACUAGUGAACAGUGUUGAGCUAAUGAGGACAGGGCACUCCUGUCUAACAGGCUUUUAUCUGUUCACUUACUGACUGCAAUUGUCUGUAGACAUACUUCCAUUCACAUCCACUUUCUAACAGAGCACGAGGCCUAACUGUAUCAGUUGUGACUGAAGUUCAAGAGAAAACAGAUAUUUUCCUAAGUGGACAUGGGUCCAUCUCCUCUAUUGGGGCGGCAGGUAGCCUAGUGGUUAGAGCGUUGGACUAGUAACCGAAAGGUUGGAAGAUCAAGCCGAGCUGACAAGGUGCAAUCUGUCGUUCUGCCCCUGAACAAGGUACUUAACCCACUGUUCCUAGGCCGUCAAUGAAAAUAAGAAUUUGUUCUUAACUGACUUGCCUAGUAAAAUAAAAAGAUAUCUGAGCAUGCUAACACAUGGUGUAGCUAGGUUAUCUAGGCUAUUUUCAGCCACAGUGUUAACCUACUAGAGGAAGAGAUAACUUAAGCAAUAAUGCCUGAGAACCCAGGAACUCCUGGUUGUUCUGAGGCCUGAGUGAGAUUAAGUUUAUGAAUUUCCUGCCUGGGCUGCGGGACAGUGGAAUUAUGAGAUGAAUAUGUCAUGGUAUUUCUCUAGCGUAGUGCAAUGCUAACCCUGUAGUCCUGAGAGGCCAAGCAAGCAGUCACAGGCAGCACACACACCAGGACUUCAGCCUUUUGGCCUCUGCGCUGCAGUGUUAUAUAUUAACAGCACUCCACACCAACAUCCAGUAAGAAGAACAGUCACAAGGUGUGAAAUGGCUCUGUUCCACCCCAAAGUGCACUACUGGGGUGUAUUCUGGCUAGUGUUCUCAUAGGAUCAGCGUAGAGAGCGUGAAUGGGAGUGAAUUGCUCUAUGACCACGGUUCAUUGAUCUAGCUACAACUAAUACUGAUAUGACCAUGACGCAUUUAUCUACAUCAACAACUACCGGCUUAUUCCAGUCUGUUCCUACGCCAGUGACAGAGCUACUUCCUUGGAUGACUGCCAAAUACAGGACUACCUGGCCUGAUGAACUUUGGCUGUCCCAAUCCCCAGUCCACCUGGUCGUGCUGCUGAUCCAGUUUCUGCUGUUCUGCCUGCAACUAUGGAACCCUGACUUGUUCACCGGACGUGCUACCUUGUCCUGGACCUGCUAUUUCGACCACUGAAUGUUCAGCUAUGAAAGGUUAACUGACAUUUACUCCUGAGGUGCUGACCUGUUGCACCCUCUAUAACCACAGACUAUUAUUUGACACUGCUGGUCAACAAUGGACGUUUGAACUUCUUGAAGAACGACAUGGCCUUAAUGGCCAUGUACUCUUAUAAUCUACAACUGGCACAGCCAGAUGAGGACCAGCCACCUCUAAGAGCCUGGUUUCUCUAGGUUUCUUCCUAGGAUCCUAGCUGUCUCGAGAGUUUUUCCUAGCAACUGUGCUUCUACAUCUGCAUUGGUUGCCAUUUGGUGUUUCAAGUACUUUGUGACUACUGCUGAUGUAAAAAGGGCUUUAUAAAAUAAAUGUGAUUGAAAUUUGA